GCGUUAUCCGGAUUCACUGGGUUUAAAGGGUGCGUAGGUGGGAAUGUAAGUCAGUGGUGAAAUCUCCGUGCUUAACACGGAAACUGCCAUUGAUACUAUGUUUCUUGAAUUUUCUGGAGGUCAGCGGAAUAUGUCAUGUAGCGGUGAAAUGCUUAGAUAUGACAUAGAACACCAAUUGCGAAGGCAGCUGGCUACAGGGAUAUUGACACUGAGGCACGAAAGCGUG
rnacentral:rRNA from 1 species